AAAAAAACAAAAAACAAAAAACAAAAAAACAGUGGCCAGAGACUUGAGCAGGAUGUGUGAAGGGAUUUAAUAAUGGAACUUGUGGCAACAGUAGACUUCAGAGACCAGACUGGCGGCUUGAAGAAAGCUAUUUUCUCGUACCAAAUACAUUCCAUUUCCUAAGCUACAUCUCAUUGCUUGUCCUAAAAUGAUAAAUAAGAGACUGUCUUUAUCCAAAUGGUGUUAGUAAUCUGCUCACAGGCUAGAAAUCCACGGACAGAAAAAGUAAGUAAACGGAGCCCAGGAAUAGAGAAGGAAGUGCAGGUUGUGGACUGGGCAACCCCCAAGGCGGCAAAGAGGAAACCAGGGACAGGGUCUCGGUCUGUUACCCAAGCUGAAGAGCAAUGGGAUGAUCAUGGCUCACUGCAGCCUCAGAUUCCUGGGCUCAAGUGAUCCUCCCAUCUCAGCCUCCCAAGUAGCUGGACCUACAGACAUCCACCAUCAUGCCUGGGUGGAAUGUCAGUAUUGCAACUGUGAUGCCUUUAUAUCAUGUGAGAAGAACAAUAGAGUCCUGGGAGGCAAGUGCAGAUGACCCCAAGGUCCUUGUGGACAAGGAAGUAAAAGCUAAGAAGAAAUGGCACGUUUCUUAGGAAACAUUUCAAUAUUGUUAUUUAUACAAGGAUGCAGAGAACAGUACAGCUGGAGAAUUAAAUGGAGAGAUCAGCGCACAGAUGGGUAAGAAAGCACUGUUUUGCCAACUGGAUAACAUCUGGCACAUUAGAGUCAACCUAAAUACCUAACAAGCUAAACAAAAGUUCAAGUAGCAGAUGAUCUCUUUAUCUUUCUGCAAAGAGCAGGAACAUAGCAGCCAAAAAUGAGUCAUGUUAGAUGUGGAAAUAAGAGAUACAGUUUAAAAAAUAAAAUCCUCCUUUAAACAGUUAUGGAAUAUGCAGCUGGAAUUGUAGCAAUCCCCAGGUACUGAAGAUAAGAAUAUAGAGAAGUUUUUCUUCUGACAGACUUGCUGGAAGCCAGGUGGCUAUCGCUGGUAACAAUCCAGGAAGCUAACGGAUAACUUCUGUAACAACUGGACCCACACGGCCAGGACUUGAUUAAUGACUGACAUCUACCCUAAUUUUUGUGCCUACAUCCAAUUUAAGACCAAACAGAGAAAACGAAACACGCACCCCUAACCGAUCAUGCAGAAUGCCCCUACUUCUGUUUAGCCCGCCUACAGCUUCCCCAUGGCAAUAGCCUCCAAUCAGGAUACACCUGAACCCUUCCCUCCCCACCCACUGCCCUGCUAUAAAGCUUUCUCAUUUCUCUGCCUUUGAAUCACUGCCAAAACACAGCGACAGUAGCUAACUCCCUUGUUGUAUAGCAGGCUGUGAAAAAAUAGCACUUGCAUUUCUCAUUUGAUUGGUCGUCAUUUAUUUCUAUAACCAUGUGUUUCAUUCAUGCAAUUCAGAAGUUUCUUUGGAAUAACUUGCAGAGUAAACUAAAAAAUAUUUAUUUGCU
rnacentral:lncRNA from 10 species